rnacentral:lncRNA from 1 species
GAAAAUCACUAACAAUUAAUGAAAGAAGCAUAAAAUAAUUCAAAUCAUAUUCAAAUACAUAAAAGUUUAGAAGUUACAUCUUUGCCAACAAGAAAUAAGUUUAGUUCUCCAUUGUCAUGGAGAACCUUGAUGUACAAUGGAAUGAAAGUGAGAUGGAAACCCUAAAAAGUGAAGAGGAAAGCUCCCGCAUCCAAUUCUGCCUCCAAAGGGUCGAAGAGAGUGUCUCUACGCUUUUGC